rnacentral:rRNA from 1 species
GAAGGUCAGGCUGAAGACCUUACCCGAUUAGCUGAGAGGUGGUGCAUGGCCGUCGUCAGUUCGUACUGUCGAAGCAUCCUGUUAAGUCAGGCAACGAGCGAGACCCACGUCCACAGUUGCCAGCAUACCCUCCGGGGUGAUGGGUACACUGUGGAGACCGCCGCUGCUAAAGCGGAGGAAGGAGUGGGCAACGGUAGGUCAGUAUGCCCCGAAUCUCCCGGGCUACACGCGGGCUACAAUGGUUGGUACAAUGGGCAUCUACCCCGAAAGGGGAAGGAAAUCUCUUAAAGCCAAUCGUAGUUCGGAUUGAGGGCUGCAACUCGCCCUCAUGAAGCUGGAAUCCGUAGUAAUCGCGUUUCAACAGAACGCGGUGAAUACGUCCCUGCUCCUU